CGGUUCGGGAAGGUGUGAAGGCGGGUUCCGUGCGUGCAGCGUGAUCGUGGGGAGCUCCGUCUCUACCCACAAAGAAACAUUAUAGAAGCAACGCCCUCCGGUUUAACUUGGUGUUUAGUCAGAGUUUCAACACACUGCACGAGAACACUACAAGCAGGAAUGCGCUCUUUUUCCCAGGCUGGACCUCGAGGGCAUAGGUUUCAGGUAGGUGACCAGGACUGCACACAAUACUCAAAAUUUGGCCUCACCAACAUUCUAUACAUCUUCAACAUGAGCAGUACGAUUGGAGCUACUUCUUUUAGUUCAAGAUUUCUGUGACAGAUUUUAAGAAUUCAACAGGAAAAUGUUGAGCCUCAUCUGCCUCAUCUCUAGUCAAUUUACCCCUUGGAUGUGGGUAGUUGGGAUAUAAAUCUCCAUGUACAAUGGGCCUGUUCAUUUAAUCUAUGAAGAAGGAAGUCCAAUCAAGUUGAAAAAUGAUCUGU